rnacentral:rRNA from 1 species
UACGGGAGGCAGCAGUGAGGAAUAUUGGUCAAUGGGCGAGAGCCUGAACCAGCCAAGUAGCGUGAAGGAUGAAGGUCCUACGGAUUGUAAACUUCUUUUAUACGGGAAUAAAGUAUCCUACGUGUAGGAUUUUGUAUGUACCGUAUGAAUAAGCAUCGGCUAACUCCGUGCCAGCAGCCGCGGUAAUACGGAGGAUGCGAGCGUUAUCCGGAUUUAUUGGGUUUAAAGGGAGCGCAGACGGGAGAUUAAGUCAGUUGUGAAAGUUUGCGGCUCAACCGUAAAAUUGCAGUUGAUACUGGUUUCCUUGAGUGCAGUUGAGGCAGGCGGAAUUCGUGGUGUAGCGGUGAAAUGCUUAGAUAUCACGAAGAACCCCGAUUGCGAAGGCAGCUUGCUAAACUGUAACUGACGUUCAUGCUCGAAAGUGUGGGUAUCAAACAGGAUUAGAUACCCUGGUAGUCCACACGGUAAACGAUGGAUACUCGCUGUUGGCGAUAUACUGUCAGCG